UCGUUUAUUUUACUUUCCAACCCUAUUGUUUUUCUAUUCCUUCAAACCCUAGCCGUAAAUUGUAAUCCCAAAAUUUUCAAAAUUCACAUCCUCACCUUCCUCCCUUUGCUGCAAGAAGACGUUAAAUUUGAAUUUGUCUCGUCCUAGCUGUAGUAGACACGCACCUCUACAAUUCUCAUCUUUGUUUUCGCUAAACGACUCGUCGACUACUGGUGCUUCGGAGUCAAAUCAGUUUUUGUCGCUUGCCAGGUUUUUCACGUGGAUUAGCAAGCAGUGAGUUUGUAGUGCUAUUUACCGCUUUAUUAAGUACCGCAUCGUAUUUUAAUAUUAUAAAUGUUUGUGAACUGUUUUUACGGAUUAUGGAUCUGGAUUGAAACGAGCUACUCGAUAGGCUUGUAUCGAGACUGUGUGCACUGGUAAGUACUCUGGGAAACGGCAGACUAUGGUCUUGCUUACGCUGGUAAUUUGACGAGGAUUUGUUCCCGUCCACUCUGGGUUUAUUUUUCAGUAUGCUAUGGCAUACUUACGCUGGGAUCUUUUCAAUACUGUUUUCCAUAAUCAUACUAUAUUAGUAUAAACUAUUUUGAUUUAAGGGUUUUAAACUUAAUAAAUGUAAAUAGUAUUGCGAACUCAUCUCAGUAUAUCUGACCCCGUUGUUUUCCCAAAUUUUCCAGGUUUAUGAUUUGAAAGCUGGUCCACUCCGAUCCUUUUAUUCUUCGGAGGGUUAUUUUAUUUUGUAUAGAUUGUCAAACUGAUUUUUAUUCUUAGACCGCAGUAGUAAAACUAGAAGUUCA